rnacentral:rRNA from 1 species
UACGUAGGUGGCAAGCGUUGUCCGGAAUUACUGGGUGUAAAGCGCGUGUAGGCGGGAGGCCAAGUCUGCUGUGAAAUCGCUCGGCUCAACUGGGCGGGGUCGGUGGAAACUGGUCACCUGGAGGACGGUAGAGGCGAGUGGAAUUCCCGGUGUAGUGGUGAAAUGCGUAGAGAUCGGGAGGAACACCGGUGGCGAAGGCGGCCAGCUGGCGCUGACCUGACGCUGAGGCGCGAAGGCGUGGGGAGCGAACGGG